GGCAUAUUUUGCGAUGGCGGAGCUCGGCCGCCGCGAGAGAUGAUGAUGGCGUUCAUCGAGGUCCGUCGCGCGGCCCUGGGUAUCGAGCCGAUCUGCCGCGAACUGGCAAUGGCCC
rfam:Sphingomonas hengshuiensis strain WHSC-8, complete genome.